rnacentral:rRNA from 1 species
UGGGGAAUAUUGCACAAUGGGCGCAAGCCUGAUGCAGCCAUGCCGCGUGUGUGAAGAAGGCCUUCGGGUUGUAAAGCACUUUCAGCGGGGAGGAAGGCGUUAAGGUUAAUAACCUUGGCGAUUGACGUUACCCGCAGAAGAAGCACCGGCUAACUCCGUGCCAGCAGCCGCGGUAAUACGGAGGGUGCAAGCGUUAAUCGGAAUUACUGGGCGUAAAGCGCACGCAGGCGGUCUGUCAAGUCGGAUGUGAAAUCCCCGGGCUCAACCUGGGAACUGCAUUCGAAACUGGCAGGCUAGAGUCUUGUAGAGGGGGGUAGAAUUCCAGGUGUAGCGGUGAAAUGCGUAGAGUUCUGGAGGAAUACCGGUGGCGAAGGCGGCCCCCUGGACAAAGACUGACGCUCAGGUGCGAAAGCGUGGGGAGCAAACAGG